GAUGAACGCUAGCGGCAGGCCUAACACAUGCAAGUCGAGGGAGAAGCCCUUCGGGGCAGAAACCGGCGCACGGGUGCGUAACGCGUAUGCAACCUACCUUUCACAGGGGGAUAGCCCGAAGAAAUUUGGAUUAAUACCCCAUAAUAUUGUUGGAUAGCAUCAUCUGAUAAUUAAAAUUACGAUGGUGGAAGAUGGGCAUGCGUCCUAUUAGCUAGUUGGAGUGGUAACGGCACCCCAAGGCUACGAUAGGUAGGGGUCCUGAGAGGGAGAUCCCCCACACUGGUACUGAGACAGGGACCAGACUCCUACGGGAGGCAGCAGUGAGGAAUAUUGGUCAAUGGUCGGAAGACUGAACCAGCCAUGCCGCGUGCAGGAAGAAUGCCUUAUGGGUUGUAAACUGCUUUUAUAUGGGAAGAAUAAGGCGUACGCGUACGUGA
rnacentral:rRNA from 1 species